GGAGCAAUGGCGUAGUUGGCUGUCGCCGCAUCUGUCUAACCCACAGAAAGUCCUGAGUUCGAACCUGGGUUGUUCCA